UAUCCAUGGUGAGGACACAUACUCAACAAUUCCUUAAAUCUCUCUCAAGCCUGAUACAAAGUCUCACUAUCCUUUUCUACAAAAGUAGAUAUCUGCCUCUUAAAAGC